rnacentral:lncRNA from 1 species
ACUGCAUUUAAAUGCUUCUUUUAUUGCCAUAGCGAGACCCGUGGAGGCUGAUGAUCUGCUUCGAGAAAGAGGACACCAGCUCCAUCACAGCACACGGCAGGAGUUCAGACAGCAGCCCAGAGCUUCAGCACACUACCAGCACGGUUAUAGACCAAGACAUCCAAAGAGAGGAAGGUAUCACCUCGCACCACGAUGGCCCCAGUCUCAAAACUAAACAACACUGACUGAUGAGAAAUGAAUUACUAGGCUCUUGUGGAAACAAUUGUCACCCACAGAACAAAGCAUUUCAUUCUCAGAUGUGAAUGUUCAUGUCCAUGUUCCUGCUUGCCU